rnacentral:tRNA from 1 species
GUCCGCGUGGCCUAAUGCAUAAGGCGCCCGAUUGCGGAUCGGGAGAUUGCAGGUUCAAGUCCUGUCGCGGACG